rnacentral:rRNA from 1 species
AUGCGUAUGUUGAGAUGGAUGUGUGGCCACACAAGGAAGGAUCGAGUCCGGAAUGAUGAUAUACGAGAUAGAGUUGGGGUAGCACCAAUUGAGGAGAAGCUUGUCCAACAUCGUUUGAGAUGGUUUGGGCAUAUUCAGCGCAGGCCUCCAGAAGCUCCAGUGCAUAGCGGACGGCUAAAGCGUGCGGAGAAUGUCAAGAGAGGGCGGGGUCGACCGAUUUUGACAUGGGAGGAGUCCGUUAAGAGAGACCUGAAGGAUUGGAGUAUCGACAAAGAGCUAGCUAUGGACAGGGGUGCGUGGAAGCUUGCUAUCCAUGUGCCAGAGCCCUGA